UACGUAGGCAGCGAGCGUUGUUCGGAGUUACUGGGCGUAAAGGGUGCGUAGGCGGCGGGGCAAGUCUGAUGUGAAAUCCUGGGGCUCAACCUCAGAACUGCAUUGGAUACUGCCUUGCUAGAGUACUGGAGAGGGAACUGGAAUUUACGGUGUAGCAGUGAAAUGCGUAGAGAUCGUAAGGAAGGCCAGUGGCGAAGGCGAGUUCCUGGACAGUGACUGACGCUGAGGCACGAAGGCCAGGGGAGCAAACGGG
rnacentral:rRNA from 1 species